GACGAACGCUGGCGGCGUGCUUAACACAUGCAAGUCGAACGGAAAGGCCCAGGCUUGCUGGGGUACUCGAGUGGCGAACGGGUGAGUAACACGUGGGUGACCUGCCCUUGACUUCGGGAUAAGUUCGGGAAACUGGGGCUAAUACCGGAUAGGACGAUGGGUUGGAUGGUGGGGUGGAAAGAUUUUCCGUGGUGGGGGGUGGUCGCGCGGCUUAUCCUCUUGUGUGGGGGGUUGUGCCUUACAGGGGCCUUCGGGGGGCCCGCGCCUGAGGGGGUGCGCGCCCACAUGGGGACAGAGACACGGCACAGACUCCUAGGGGAGGGAGCAGUGGGGUAUAUUGCACAGUGGGCGGGCGUCAGAUGCAGCAGCGGCGCGUGCGGGGUGACGGCCUUCGGGUUGUAAACCGCUCUCGCCUGUGACGACGCGUGAGUGACGGUAAUGGGUAAAGAAGCACCGGCUAACUACGUG
rnacentral:rRNA from 1 species